UUGUCAGCAAUUCAAAGACCGACUUUCGAUUAUUUGGAGGAAUAGGCCACACUAUGGAAAACAUUUGUUCAACCAUUGAAAUUGGGAAGAAUUUGUGUGAUUUAACUGGACCAUGGGUUGGAUAUCUCAAUAACCUUGAUACUAACAUGGAAACUCUCAAAAGGAAGACGGAGCAAUUGAACGGCCGAAACAAUGACAUAAAUGUAGAAGUGAAUUAUGCAGAGCAGCGGUCAAGGAAAAAACGAAGGGUUGACGUUGAAUGUUGGCAAGAAUAUGUGCAAAGGAUAACAGCUGAUGUCCAAACUUUGGAAAGACAAGAGCAAGAAGUACGAGGAUUUAAGAAUGCCUUCAAACGUGCACACUUGGGAAAGCGUGUAGUGGACAAGAUUGAAGAGGUGGAAAAACUGUAUGAAAAUGGUGAAUUUUCUAAUGGUUUGCUAAUUGAUGAUCCAACUUGUGGGCACGCCAUACCAACAGCAGAAUCUUUGGUUGAACCAACAAGUGUAAGGAACAGGGAGAAAAUUUGGAAUUUCUUGAUGGAUGAUGCGGUUAGAAAAAUCGGUGUUCACGGAAUGGGGGGAAUUGGCAAAACAACCAUCAUGGGAAGCAUCAAUAAUCAACUUCUUUCCGAAACUUCUACCUUUAGUGAUGUUAUUUGGGUCACAGUUUCUAAAGCAUUCGACAUCAAAAAUCUACAAGGGCAGAUAGCUAAGAAGCUGAAUAUUGCUCUUUCCGAUAAUGAGGAUGAAUUACGUUCAGCGUCAGAAAUAAAUAAGAUGCUUUCCCAAAAGAAGAGGUAUGUGUUCAUCUUAGACGAUCUUUGGAAAGAAUUUCCUUUGGAGAAGAUGGGUAUUCCGGAACCAACCAGAGAUAACGGAUGUAAGCUAGUGUUGACUACACGAUUGGUAGACGUCUGUACAAAGAUGAAUUGCAGACCUGUUGAAAUGGAGCUUCUCACAGAAGAGGAAGCACUGAAUCUGUUUAUGAAUAAUGUUAAAGAACAUCAGGCAACGCUUACAACCGAGGUAGAAGAAAUUGCAAAAGAAGUUGCCAAAAAAUGUGCUCGUCUGCCCCUUGCAAUUGUUGUUAUGGCUGGAUGUAUGAUAGGAGUGAAUGACAUUCGCGAGUGGAGAAAUGCGAAAAGUGUACGAUGGCGCCUGGGCAAAGAAGGGUUCUUUGAGCAACUAGAAUUUAGUUAUCGUCGGCUAAAAGAUGAACAGGAACGACAUUGUUUCUUGUAUUGUGCAUUGUAUCCAGAAGACCAUGACAUCAAUAGGGAAGAACUGAUAGAGUAUUGGAUUGCUGAGGGACUAAUAAGUGAGAUGAACAGUAUAGAAGCAAUGUUUGAUGAAGGUCACUCUAUAUUGAAUAAACUCAUUAAAACCUGCUUGUUGGUAAAAAGUAUAAUAUAUGGCAGAGAAUGCGUGAAGAUGCAUGAUUUGAUAAGAGAUAUGGCUCUCAAAAUAACAUCAGCUAGUCCUCGAUUCAUGGUCCGAGCUGGUGAGGGAUUAAAAAGAGUUCCACAUAAAGACUGGUCUGAGGAUCUUGAGAGGGUUUCCUUAAUGUGGAACCAUAUUGAAGAACUUCCUUCUGAACCACCCAAUUGCCCUUGCCUCAUCACCUUCUUAUUUCGAGGCAAUAAGUCAACAGAACUUCGGAUUCAAAAUUCCUUCUUUUUGUAUAUGCCUCGUCUCAAGGUGUUGGAUUUGUCCGACACUAACAUAGAGUCUUUGCCAGAUUCCAUCUCCAUGUUGGAGAAUUUGCAUCAACUGUUACUAAAUGCCUGUUAUGAACUAAAAAAUGUGCCGUCACUGGAGAAACUUAAGGCGUUGGAACAUUUUGAACUAACUGGGAGUCAGAUUGAAAAAGUACCCCAAGGUAUAGGAGAAUUGGUUAAUCUCAGAAAGCUUGGACUUUGGGACAAUCACAACGUAAAAUAUGUGCCGUCACUGGAGAAACUGAAGGCGUUGGAACAUUUUGAACUAACUGUGAGGCAGAUUGAAGCAGCACCCCAAGGUAUAGAAGAAUUGGUUAAUCUCAGAAAGCUUAGACUCGGGGGGCAUCACCUAAAAUAUGUGCCAUCACUGGAGAAACUGAAGGCGUUGGAACAUUUUGAACUAGCUGGGAGUCAGAUUGAAAAAGUACCCCAAGGUAUAGAAGAAUUGGUUAAUCUCAGAGAGCUUAGACUUCGGGGGAAUUGCAACCUAAAAUAUGUGCCGUCACUGGAGAAACUGAAGGCGUUGGAACAUUUUGAACUAGGUCAGAGUCAGAUUGAAGAAGCACCCCAAGGUAUAGAAGAAUUGGUUAAUCUCAGAGGGCUUACACUCCGGGAGAAUCACAACCUAAAAUAUGUGCCGUCACUGGAGAAACUGAAGGCGUUGGAACAUUUUGAACUAGGUCAGAGUCAGAUUGAAGAAGCACCCCAAGGUAUAGAAGAAUUGGUUAAUCUCAGAGGGCUUACACUCUGCGAGAAUCGCAACCUAAAAUAUGUGCCGUCACUGGAGAAACUGAAGGCGUUGAAACAUUUUGAACUAGGUCAGAGUCAGAUUGAAGAAGCACCCCAAGGUAUAGAAGAAUUGGUUAAUCUCAGAGGGCUUAGACUCCGGGAGAAUCACAACCUAAAAUAUGUGCCGUCACUGGAGAAACUGAAGGCGUUGGAAUGUUUUGUGCUGACUCAUAGUCAGAUUGAAGAAGUACCCCAAGGUAUAGAAGAAUUGGUUAAUCUCAGAAAUCUUGAACUCUCGGGUUACAAGCUAGGAAUGUCUCCUUGCCGGAAGUUAUGCAGACUCACACAACUCCAUUCCCUUGAAAUUCAGAGAACAAAAGUAAAAGUUUCAGCAGAAGAGCUGUUGUGCUUGAAGCAAUUAGAAGUUCUCGAAGUUCAGUUUCACAAUGUGCAAGAGCUUACCAUGUAUGUGAAUUCUGCGCAAUGCAAAAGUUUGGAAAUGUACAGCCUUGAGGUGGGAAUUGUUGAUGAAAUUAAAAACGAGAGACUCACUUGUGAGUACGAGGGUGGAUCUUUAUCAAGUACUGGAGUAGAUGCCGUAGUGCUUCCCAGCGACAUAUGGAAGUUGUACAUUAGAAGAUGGCACAAUCACAUUAGCUUAUCAGAUAUUCAGUCGUUAAGGGAUGCAAGAGGUUUAGAAAACUUUAAGAUCGAAGAGUGUGAUGGGCUUGAAUCCAUCUUUUCAUCAUCAUCAUGCUUUUCAGAAGACUACCACAUCCCGCUAACAACGAUUGAGAAAUUAAAGUUUUCUAAUUUACCCAAUUUUAGGGUACUCUUUGACAGAGUUGUUCCACCACACAACAUUUCAUUUAACCUUAAGAGAUUGGUGUUGCGUCAAUGUCCGAAAAUGGAGAAUAUUUUCUCUGCCCUGUUGUUGCACAACUUUCCAAACCUUGAGAAGCUUAAAGUGCGGGACUGCAAGAAUGUGGAGGAGAUAAUAGUAGAAGUAGAGACGAGUGAUCGAGGGGGGCAUCGGGAAGAUGAUGGCGACACAAUCACACUCCCAAAUUUAAAGAUAUUAGAUCUACUAAACCUACCAAGGCUGGAGAGCAUAUAUAAGGGCAUAAUGGUCUGUGAAUCUCUGCAACACAUUUCGAUAUCGAAUUGUCCCAUGUUAAGGAGAUUGCCUAUUUCUUUGCACAAGAAUGAGGAUGGUGAGCAAGCAACUGCACCACCUGCUCUUCGAUUCAUUUUUGUAGAAGAAGAAUGGUGGGAAUCUCUGGAAUGGGAUAAUCCCCUCACCAAAACCACUCUUCAACCUUUCUGCUGCCCAGAAGUACCAGAAGAAGAAGAGACUGAAUCUCUUGAAAGAAAUGAAAUUGAAUAAUAUUGAAAUCAUCAUUAAGCUUUCAAUUCAUGAACUCUUGAGUGCGGAUUCAUUUCACUAUAGAUCCAGAAGAAUAGUGUGGUGGAAGCAGUGGAAGUUAUUAUUGGGAUAGAGUGCUACAAGUAGAAGUUAUUUUGAAUUGUUUUGUUACGACAUUGAUUUAAAUUAUAGAACUCUUGUUUGCUUUGAUGGAGGCAAUUAAUCUUUGAAAUAUUCAGAUUAUGGAACUCUAGGUUUGGCAUGCUUUAAACAUUAAACUAGCUAAACUGAAUUUGUGAAUUGUUGUUGAAACUUUUGGUAUUGUGAAUUAAAGAAUUACUGAUUGUGAUUUCAUCUCUUGAUUGCCA